rnacentral:rRNA from 1 species
AGCGGUGAAAUGCGUAGAGAUCUGGAGGAAUACCGGUGGCGAAGGCGGCCCCCUGGACGAAGACUGACGCUCAGGUGCGAAAGCGUGGGGAGCAAACAGGAUUAGAUACCCUGGUAGUCCACGCCGUAAACGAUGUCGACUUGGAGGUUGUGCCCUUGAGGCGUGGCUUCCGGAGCUAACGCGUUAAGUCGACCGCCUGGGGAGUACGGCCGCAAGGUUAAAACUCAAAUGAAUUGACGGGGGCCCGCACAAGCGGUGGAGCAUGUGGUUUAAUUCGAUGCAACGCGAAGAACCUUACCUGGUCUUGACAUCCACGGAAGUUUUCAGA